GACGAACGCUGGCGGCGUGCUUAACACAUGCAAGUCGAACGGUAAGGCUCCAGCUUGCUGGGGUACACGAGUGGCGAACGGGUGAGUAACACGUGGGUGACCUGCCCUGCACUUCGGGAUAAGCCUGGGAAACUGGGUCUAAUACCGGAUAGGACCGCACCGUGAGGGUGUGGUGGAAAGUUUUUUCGGUGUGGGAUGGGCCCUCGGCCUAUCAGCUUGUUGGUGGGGUAAUGGCCUACCAAGGCGGCGACGGGUAGCCGGCCUGAGAGGGUGGACGGCCACAUUGGGACUGAGACACGGCCCAGACUCCUACGGGAGGCAGCAGUGGGGAAUAUUGCACAAUGGGCGGAAGCUUGAUGCAGCGACGCCGCGUGGGGGAUGACGGCCUUCGGGUUGUAAACUCCUUUCACCAUCGACGAAGGGUUUCUGACGGUAGAUGGAGAAGAAGCACCGGCUAACUACGUGCCAGCAGCCGCGGUAAUACGUAGGGUGCGAGCGUUGUCCGGAAUUACUGGGCGUAAAGAGCUCGUAGGUGGUUUGUCGCGUCGUCUGUGAAAUUCCGGGGCUUAACUCCGGGCGUGCAGGCGAUACGGGCAUAACUUGAGUACUGUAGGGGAGACUGGAAUUCCUGGUGUAGCGGUGAAAUGCGCAGAUAUCAGGAGGAACACCGGUGGCGAAGGCGGGUCUCUGGGCAGUAACUGACGCUGAGGAGCGAAAGCAUGGGGAGCGAACAGG
rnacentral:rRNA from 1 species